GAAUAUCAAGGGCAAAAUCACUGAAAAGUGAUGACGCAAAGCUAUAGGGGCUUAUGUGGAAAAAAAACAAUGCCAGCCAGCUGCCAUC
rfam:Bacillus infantis NRRL B-14911, complete genome.